GUCCAGUGAAAUCAAAGGAUAUCCAUAAAAAUGAAAAGAAAAAUAACAUCGAUAUUGUUCAUUUUAAUGCGCAAUUGGGAUUAGGUAUCAAUUACAAUAAUGAUACAGAAAUGUUAAACAAGCCAAUAGAACAAAUUGCUCCAUUAGCAUGCACUGUAACAAGAGAAGGCACAUGGCAUGCAAAGUACGAUGAUGAUGAGAUUUACAUGAACCAAGAAAAUGAGACUGAAGAUAACCAAGAAAUAUACAUGAACACUUUAAUUAGAUAAUCAUUUCAUUUGAUUCUUAAAUAGGAUAUUUGCAAAACAUUAAGGAAAUCCCAAAUCCCUUCUUGAUUUUUGAAAUUCGACUAAUGUCACAGUCCAGGUUCCGCGAAGUCGUCGGUUUUGGCAGUGGUUUUAGCAAAAUGGCCAUUGUUACAUGCACGAUGUUUCGAUUGAUUGGGUCAUUGUUCAAACACGUCGGGGUUAUUCUAGCCUUAUUGUACUGGAAAAAGGGUUUUAAUACUACCGUUUAUACAUGUUUGUUUUUUUAAUCAGAUACUUUUAUAAUACAACUACAGUAUUACAUCAUUGUUGGUGAAAUUUUCAGUGUGUGUUUUUGUUGUUUUUGUAAUGCGCAUCAUCCCAUAUAUUUAACUCAUGCUCCAGUUAUAAGUAGAUUCUACUUUAUGCAUUUUCAAUUUUUUUCCCGUGUUUAGGAACUUUUGUACAUAUGUUUAUUUUCGUGUCGAUUCUGAUCUUUCUUUCUUCUUUCAUAAAAGUUUUAUAAAUCCACAUUCAUUCCAUUUCGCUUGUUUACAAUAACCCUGGCUUAACUUCAUUAAUAUGAUUUUCUCAUAAUAAAUGGAGAUUUUAAAUCU
rnacentral:misc_RNA from 1 species